rnacentral:lncRNA from 1 species
UUAUCCCUUCUUGUAUUACGUCCCUAAAAACAACACAACUAUUGGUAGAAUGGUUCCAAGAGUUGUGCCACCUGCAGUACUGUCUGCCCUUGAGUUCUUCCGGCUUGGGUAUUCUGUGAGGCGUUUCUAUUGCCUUCUGCAGUAGCAUUUCAUCGAACAAAGCAUCAACCUUGGUCAAAUCAAAAGAGUAAACCUUGUUUUGCGUUGGCUUGUUGGGAACGAAUCCUCCUGUGAAUGGUGGUGGCUUUUGG